CUGAAGAGGAAGUGCCGGAGUGGAGAGUUAUGUAAGGAGAAUAGAAUGAAUUCAGAGUGAGGAGAAACCUGGUUUUGAAAUUUGCCUCUGACAUUCAUUAGCUAUAUGACCCUGGAUGGGCAGCUAGUUAGCACUGAGGAUUUUGAAUUUUAGAUUUACUCCGCCCUGCUUAGUCUUUAGAAUUUUAGCAACCAGGAAUGUAUACACCUCCACUUAAGGAUUAACUGUGGGGGAGGAAGUCUAUGACCCGAGUGUGCUAGCAAAUGACAAAUCAGAAACAAAUGACUGACCCCCUUGGCUGUUCAAAGCCAAGUUUAAGACACCAUUGGUACAUGUGAGACACAGGAAGUGAUGUAAAGAACUGCCUUUAUAUUUCAUGUCACUUCCUGUGAGGGGGGCUGUUGUGACUUUUGAGGCUUUGACAGUAGAAUUUGACUUGGAGGAGCUCUGAAGAAUGGUCUAGGUGAGAUGGCUUCCCUGAAAGGCCAUGUGUCUCUCGGUAACCGAGGAUGACGAUUGUUUUUGAGCGUUUUUGUGCACAAAGACACUUGUGCAUGAAGAUUUAAGUGGAAAAGUCGAUGCACAGAAACAGUCCCACUCUCUCGGCGUUGGAAGCCUGAGUCCAGUGGCAUGAAAAGUCGUUCCACCUGGAGACUUCCUCAGCUGCAUUGGAUGGCCGUGUUGUCCUUUGUGCUCCAGCACGCCCUAAGCACUCCACAGUGCUUUGCUGCAUCGCCAUCUCAGCCGUUGAACCUUCUUGUUGGUUUCUUCCGCCUGUUCCACCGAAACAGUCUUCACAUGCUGGGUGAGCAAAGCCCUGGUUCACCAGGGGUGGACGACCCAACGGCUACCCUCACAAGGUUUAGCCGGCCUGUCGAAGCCAUUGCCCGGGGCGUGGCCGCUGCUCAUACUAGCAGCUACUGGGAGCCACAAGUGAGAGCUGGGUGUCAGUUCUGUGUACACACUGUGGAAAAGGCUUAAAAAAUUUUAUAUUUCAUUUUGAAAGUCCAACCUGAAAGACUGAGAAAACAGUGAAUUUUUGGUCUGAGCUAUGUGUGUAAUAAUGGAGGCCAUUUAGUAGGCUCUGAAGUGUUCUGGACCUUGACAAAAUCAUUAUAUCAUCCAAUAAUCUGGAGCCUCUCCAUCUAUAGGGAAUGCUACUUUGAUUCAGACUCUGCCCUGGACAUACUCUAAGACAUUGGUAGAUAUAAUAUAUAAUGUCCAUAAAAUUAUUUUUAUGAACAUUCUCUCU
ensembl:lncRNA